GGUGAACGCUGGCGGCGUGCUUAAGACAUGCAAGUCGAACGGACAGAGCUUGCUCUGUCAGUGGCGCACGGGUGAGUAACGCGUAACUGACCUACCCCCAAGUCGCGGAUAACGCGCCGAAAGGCACGCUAAUACGUGAUGUGCACGCAGGUUUCUGGCCUGCUGUGUAAAGACUGGAUCGCUUGGGGAUGGGGUUGCGUUCCAUCAGCUAGAUGGUAGGGUAACGGCCCACCAUGGCGACGACGGAUCGCCGGCCUGAGAGGGUGGCCGGCCACAGGGGCACUGAGACGCGGGUCCCACUCCUACGGGAGGCAGCAGUUAGGAAUCUUCCACAAUGGGCGCAAGCCUGAUGGAGCGACGCCGCGUGAGGGAUGAAGGUUUUCGGAUCGUAAACCUCUGAAUCUGGGACGAAAGACGCGACGAGCGGGAUGACGGUACCAGAGUAAUAGCACCGGCUAACUCCGUGCCAGCAGCCGCCGUAACAC
rnacentral:rRNA from 1 species